rnacentral:rRNA from 1 species
UGAGGAAUCUUCCACAAUGGGCGAAAGCCUGAUGGAGCAACGCCGCGUGAAGGAUGAAGGUCUUCGGAUUGUAAACUUCUUUUAUGAGUGAAGAAUAUGACGGUAACUCAUGAAUAAGCACCGGCUAACUACGUGCCAGCAGCCGCGGUCAUACGUAGGGUGCAAGCAUUAUCCGGAGUGACUGGGCGUAAAGAGUUGCGUAGGCGGUUAUGUAAGCGAAUAGUGAAACCUGGUGGCUCAACCACACAGACUAUUAUUCGAACUGCAUAACUCGAGAAUGGUAGAGGUAACUGGAAUUUCUUGUGUAGGAGUGAAAUCCGUAGAUAUAAGAAGGAACACCAAUGGCGUAGGCAGGUUACUGGGCCAUUUCUGACGCUAAGGCACGAAAGCGUGGGGAGCGAACC